GACGAACGCUGGCGGUGUGCUUAACACAUGCAAGUCGAACGGAAAGGCCCUGCUUUUGUGGGUUGCUCGAGUGGCGAACGGGUGAGUAACACUUGAGUAACCUGCCCUUGCCUUUGGGAUAACUUCAGGAAACUGGGGCUAAUACCGGAUAGGAGCUCCUGCUGCAUUGUGGGGGUUGGAAAGUUUCGGCGGUUGUGGAUGGACUCUCGGCUUAUCAGCUUGUUGGUGGGGUAGUGGCUUACAAAGGCUUUGACGGGUAGCCGGCCUGAGAGGGUGACCGGACACAUUGGGAAUGAGAUACGGACCAGACUCCUACGGGAAGCAGCAGUGGGAAAUAUUGCACAAUGGGCGGAAGCGUGAUGCAGAAACGCCGCGUGCGGGAUGAAGGCCUUCGGGGUGUGAACCGAUUUCGCCUGUGACGAAGCGUGAGUGAAGGUAAUGGGUAAAGAAGCACCGGCUAACUACGUG
rnacentral:rRNA from 1 species